CCUACGGGAGGCAGCAGUGGGGAAUAUUGCGCAAUGGGCGAAAGCCUGACGCAGCGACGCCGCGUGAGGGAUGAAGGUCUUCGGAUCGGAAACCUCUGUCAGCAGGGAAGAACGGUCACUGUGCUAAUCAGCAGUGAAUUGACGGUACCUGCAAAGGAAGCACCGGCUAACUCCGUGCACGCAGCCGCGGUAAUACGGAGGGAGCGGGCGUUAAACGGAAUUACUGGGCGUAAAGCGCACGUAGGCGGUAUGUCAAGUCAAGGGUGAAAUCCCCGCGCUCAACGUGGGAACUGCCUUUGAAACUGGCAAACUGGAGUGUGUGAGAGGAUAGUGGAAUUCCAGGUGUAGGAGUGAAAUCCGUAGAUAUCUGGAGGAACAUCAGUGGCGAAGGCGACUAUCUGGCACAUAACUGACGCUGAGGAGCGAAAGCGUGGGUAGCAAACAGGAUUAGAUACCCUUGUAGUC
rnacentral:rRNA from 1 species